rnacentral:lncRNA from 1 species
UAAAAUAUAAAUGCAAAUCGGUCAAAAUCUGUUUUAUCAUGAAAAUAAUUAAUCAAAAAUAUAAUGAACCGCACAAAUUGAGAAACGACAAAAAUAGGUAUACAAUUGAGAAACGACAAGAAUUUGUUCCACCAGCUGAUGAGUUGGACCCUACAACUCUUUUGUAUCCCAACAGUCUGCCUCGAUCGACUACUAGAAACUUGGACCAAGCUUGCCGUGGGUGGCAAAGUAGGUUUCAAGGAAUGGUGUGAUUUCUUUCACAAUCGUGAAGUGGACUCCUUUGCUAUCAAGAGUUUAGAAGAUCAACACUUGUAUAAUGUGGCCUUUUUUUCCAUAUGGCUUUGUCGCUACGUCAUUGUCUGUGGUGGGCCAUAUAUUCGUCCCGGGGUAUUAGUGAUGGCGUCCUGAAUUCCUUAGGAAGGCUCAUCUCUUUGUGACCACCCACUCUUUGCUCUCUUUAUUACUCACUUCGACAAAUUUGUACUCAUCCGAUCGGCCCCUAGUUCAUGUAUAGAAUUUUGCCGGUACACUACCUUGCUGGAUGGAUGGGUGUGUACCUCAGGAAACCAUAUGGAAAGAAAGUAAAAACACCACAUUUCCCGAGCUCUGAAAUCUUGGUAGUGGAACCCAAUAUGGUGAAAAUCAUGUUUAAGACACCGCAUCAAUUUUACUCCUGAAGAGGCCCAUGCCUUCCUCAAUGAUUAUAAGAAUGUUGCUUGGAACCCCUAUGCCCUGACUAAGGAAGGCGUGUUCAGACCCAAGAGAGCUUUUUUGAUUUCUAUUCGUCGGGGAAUGUUGCCGUGGAGGCGUGGUACUAUUACUGAUGACAUGUGUAUAGCCGAACCAUAUCACCCAGAUCGAGUGGCACGCCAAUUCCGUCUUGACCAAGUUGUACCCUUCUCUCGUGCCCCAAGCUCGGGAUGACCGUGUGGUAUGCCUAACUUUGCGAUCACUGGAUUGGCUACCUCACUAGUGUCUGGUUCAAAUAGGUGUAUUUAGGCCAACCGUGAUAGAGGCAUUCUACAUGAUUCAGACGAAGAUGGUGUCGUAGCUUCCUCCAUCUAUAUGAAAGGAAGAUAUUCAUGUCGGUAUAUGCAUGAAAUUAUAGAAAUUAAAUGAAUAGUACAUGAAAAGGCAGCAUCAAAAAUUUAUUACCAAAGUAGAAGUAAUGACCCAAGCAAGACGGCCUGUGACUCAGGACAAUUAGAGGUAGAAUCUGCAAUAAAAAUAAUAAUAAUAACAAUUCAAUAUUUAGAGUUGACACGCAAAAUAAAAAAAAGGAAUAUGAGAAAUUGGUAAUAUUUCUCAUACUCACUGUCGAACGACGGACAGAGCCCAUAUAUAGGCUCCCCGGAACGCCAACAACGAGCGGUUCACUAAUUCGUACAUAUAUAAUACACACACAAAAAAAGGGUUCACUGUCGAAUGACGGACCAAGCCCAUAUAUAGACUCCCCGGAAUGCCGACAGCGAGCGACUCAUUAAAUCAUACAUAUAGGGUAAAAAAAAAAUCUCCAUGGAACAACGGACCAAGCCCAUAUAUAGGCUUUCCGGGACGCCGACAGCGAGAAAGUCAUUAAGUCCACGCAUAUCCAAUAAAAAAAAUCUCUCUGUCGAACGACGGACAAAGCCCAUAUAUAGGCUUUCCGGGACACCGACAGCGAGAAAGUGAUUAAGUCCACGCAUAUCCAAUAAACAAAAAGAAUCGUGCUGUCGAACGACGGACCAAGCCCGGGUAUAGGCUUCCCGGAACGCCGAUCAUGAUAGGGUAUAGGCUUCCCGAAACGCCGACCGUGAGAUCAUGAUUUUUGUAUGAAUAGAUGCAGAUCAAACGCAUCAGGAGCCUCAUACAUCGAUGCAGGGAAUAUAGUGUACAUACAAGGCAUUGUGUCUUGGACACUAUUAUAGAGGCUGACAUAGAUGAAACGACAAAUAAAAGGAUAAUCAUACCGUCGGGAAAGCAAAUUAACCUAAAUCGAAUCUAUCCAAGUCUCGAAUCCAUGUAUCAGCAGGAAAAAAAGAAGUCGGACAAACAAAGGUGACGUCCUAAAUAUUGAGAGGCAGAUUCUUAAUGAGAAGCGAAGUUGAUCACACCUGAAGCUGGUUGAAAUCACCACUUGCCCCACGGAGGUGCAUCUCAUGAGGGAGUAAAAUAGAUCUGGGACGAAUGAAACAGCAAACCAAUUAACAUAUGAAUUAACUAGGUACUGGCAAAUUACAAUAUCAUAUGAAGGGAAUGAAGACGAAGCCUUAAUGCGUACGGCGGUACGGGGCUGCGGCCACAGUCUAAGCGGAAUAAAGUCUAACCUCGUCUCCGACGUUUUCUAGCUGAUCUGAGAAAGAAGGAUGCCGGUUGUUUAAAAGAGAGUUGAGGAGAUAGCGGACUGAGUUUGUUGGCCGGAUAGAGUUUGUUAGCUGGCUAACCCCAAACGUGGCCUGAUUUCUAGCUUGCAUGGUUGCAAAAUUAG